rnacentral:rRNA from 1 species
AUAUCAAUCAGUGGAGGAAAAGAAACUAACAAGGAUUCCCCUAGUAACGGCGAGUGAAGCGGGAACAGCUCAAAUUUAAAAUCUGAGAGGUUUCCUCUCCGAAUUGUAGUUUAGAGAAGCGUUUUCGGUGGUGGCCUGAGUAUAAGUCCUUUGGAACAAGGCAUCACGGAGGGUGAGAAUCCCGUUUGUGACUCAGAGUCCAUUGCUAUGUGAUACGCUUUCCAAGAGUCGGGUUGUUUGGGAAUGCAGCUCAAAAUGGGUGGUAAAUGCCAUCUAAAGCUAAAUAUUGGCGAGAGACCGAUAGCGCACAAGUA